GUGCUUGCUUCGGCAGCACAUAUACUAAAUUUUGAACAAUACAGGGAAGAUUAGCAUAGCCCCCACAAAAGGAUGACAGGCAAAUUUGUGAAGUGUUCCAUAUUUAA
ensembl:snRNA U6 U6 spliceosomal RNA